rnacentral:tRNA from 1 species
GCCGCCGUAGCUCAGACUGGGAGAGCACCAGGCUGAAGACCUGGGUGUCGUGGGUUCAAAUCCCACCGGCGGCA